UACGAAGGGGGCUAGCGUUGUUCGGAAUUACUGGGCGUAAAGGGCGCGUAGGCGGCCUCGUCCGUCCGGCGUGAAAUGCCUGGGCUCAACCUAGGAAUUGCGCUCGAUACAGCGAGGCUAGAGUGUGGGAGAGGUUGGUGGAAUUCCCAGUGUAGAGGUGAAAUUCGUAGAUAUUGGGAAGAACACCGGUGGCGAAGGCGGCUCACUGGCUCAUUACUGACGCUCAGGCGCGACAGCGUGGGGAUCAAACAGG
rnacentral:rRNA from 1 species